GAUAUCGACCUGCCUGACCAGGCUGAGAUUGCGCUAGCCGGCGUAGUUGGUAUCUCUCGCGCAAGCGGGUUUGAAGGUGCGGCCUAUCUUAGGGGGGUAAAUUGUAACUUCGCACAAAGGCAUG
rfam:Maize necrotic streak virus, complete genome.